rnacentral:rRNA from 1 species
AUUGAACGCUGGCGGCAGGCCUAACACAUGCAAGUCGAGCGGAUGAAGGGAGCUUGCUCCUGGAUUCAGCGGCGGACGGGUGAGUAAUGCCUAGGAAUCUGCCUGGUAGUGGGGGAUAACGUCCGGAAACGGGCGCUAAUACCGCAUACGUCCUGAGGGAGAAAGUGGGGGAUCUUCGGCCCUCAGGCUAUCAGAUGAGCCUAGGUCGGAUUAGCUAGUUGGUGGGGUAAAGGCCUACCAAGGCGACGAUCCGUAACUGGUCUGAGAGGAUGAUCAGUCACACUGGAACUGAGACACGGUCCAGACUCCUACGGGAGGCAGCAGUGGGGAAUAUUGGACAAUGGGCGAAAGCCUGAUCCAGCCAUGCCGCGUGUGUGAAGAAGGUCUUCGGAUUGUAAAGCACUUUAAGUUGGGAGGAAGGGCAGUAAGUUAAUACCUUGCUGUUUUGACGUUACCAACAGAAUAAGCACCGGCUAACUUCGUG